CUAAGGUUGGAUUUGAUUGUUGUUCUAGGCGCUAAUCGUCAUAACGCCUUGAUGUACGGUGCUAGGGAGUUGUGGGCGAACUCCAGGUGAGUGGGCAGUUUUGUUUUCCGUAUAUAUAUGUACUUGACGUUUUCCCAGAAAUUGAAAUUUAAUGAAAAAUGUGAUUUGAAAUGCCAUGCAUAGAAAUGAUAUGAAAAGUAUAUAGAAAUGUGAAUUGAAUUGCCAUGCAUGAAAUGAUAUGAAAAA
rnacentral:lncRNA from 1 species